CCUUUUUCCCCUUGCUCCUCCUCCAGCAGCACAAUGUGAUCCACCCGCAAGGAGGGAUGCCAAUAAGGCGUCUGAUAAGCCACAGAUAAGUGCAGUCUUCACCCAUUAUCAAGGAAACUUCUCUUUGCAGCAGAUGGAGACCACUACAGCAAACCACAACCAAUCAAGAUGCACAGUUCUAGAACCCAGUCCUAAUAGAUAUGUACAAAAAACACUCCCGUGCCUAAGGCUCAGGGAACAUUGCAGAAGAAGGGGUGGAAAGACUGUAAGAGCCUUACAGAGUAUCAGGGAGUUUGGUGUGAUAUUGUGUCUCCUCGUAACAUCAGAAGCUACACCCAUGAAGUAUCACCAACAUGACUGUCCAAACACAAAACGAACAAGAUAACACCCAUGGGCAUGCCAUCCUGGAUGGAGAAAAGCCCUGAAGCCCCAAACCUACACACAGGACUCCAGGCAACCGAAAGAGAGCUGGGAGUGGGAGAAGAGGUCUUCUCCAAGGAAGAGCGCAUCAAUUGGUUGUUAAGUACCAAAUGACCAGCCUUGAAAACUUACAUUCAAGUAGCAUUUUAUGGGCUGAACAAGUUAUAUUUGGGAAUAUCUACGUAUAUACAUAGAAACAUUCAAUAACAAGUAUCAAAAAAAGAGGCCAUUAAUUUGAAGAGAUCAGGGAACAGUAUAUGGGAGGGUUUAGAGGGAGGUAAGGGAAGGAACAAAUGUUGUAAUUAAAUUAAAAUCUCAAAAAACAAAAAUGCAAAGAGAGAGACAAAUAAAGAGAAAUUUGCGACUGUAUCUGGCUCAACUAUCUGCCCAAAUAGAAGGCACUGCGAACAACUCCACCUUGACAUAAAGAUGGCAUCUGGUAUCCAUGGGCACAACCCCAGGAGAAGAGGGGAAUAUGUCAGGUGAUGUGUUGGAAUGACGGGGCGAUCAGCAGGAGGUCCAUUUAAGAUUUCCUCUUCUUUAUGUAGUCUCUUUCGUUCUGUGAGAUCUCCACCCUGAAAUUAGAGGCACUGUCUUGGCAUCAUGCAGAGCUAGGAGAACUGGAUUCAGAUUCCAAUUCUGCCACUUAAACCUUGGACAAGUCGGAGCUCAUUGCCUCAGCUGGAACAUGAGAGAAUCCUGUGUGCUGUGGCUGCUCUGUGGGCACAACAUCAUGAGAGAAUAAAGGAAUGUGUGACGGGAAAGAGCGCCACAGCAUGUGACAGUUUCUCAUGAGAUCUAUGCUAUAAGGACUGAAUGAUGAAGGAGAACCGACAUCUACAAGUGUCUGACUGCUACCAUAACUCAAACAUAGUGUAGUUCAUAUCUAUGACCUUCCAGCAAAGCUUUUUUCUUGAGACAGUCAUAUAC
rnacentral:lncRNA from 1 species